UGUGUGAGCGAGCCUGCUCGCGACAGCGCCGGGUCAGACGAAUGAGUGUUGUCUGAUACACCGCCAUCGCGAGCAGGCUCGCUCCCACA
rnacentral:misc_RNA from 1 species